rnacentral:lncRNA from 1 species
UUGGCUUGUGUUAUUUUUCAGGUUGAUAGAUGUGGCAGUUGGCGAUGAGCGUGAGGCGUACGAGUCCCUGCUUGGUACUUGCAAAUGCCGGUGGAAGUUGGAAGGAAGUACGUUAGUGUCUGUAACCUCGGGUGUGUACUGAGUAAAAUUUUCAGGUUCUACUUUCGCGAGUUGGUGUCACACCUCCUUUUUACCGCCCCGGGAGGGAGUAUGAGAGUUUUUCAAAUUAAAGUGACAUUAUUCUAAAUCGAGGAUUUUUUUUUAAAAGUCUUCGAACCAGAUAUAUAUCAUUAUUCUUAAGCUUAUUUCAAUCAUAUCCAAACAAAAUUCGUAUGGAUUUAUCAAUAAAAGCUAAUAGGUCUCUUAUUUCACUAAUAAGCCAGAUUCUAAAUUUAUUUGAAAAUUAUAACACCUAGAUUUUUGUUUUAGACUAAACUAGCUAAAUGCUCUAACUAGUAUCACGUUAGUACUUAAUAAAAUAUAAAAAAUAAUCCCAAACAAAUAUACUAUGUGACAUAGAGAAUAAAUUAAUUACUGACCUAAAAUAUCAAAUAAAAUUAAUACCCUAUAUUUAUUUUAAUAUACUUAACCAAUCAAAAGUUUUUAGUUUCUUCUUUCUCAAGAGUGGCUAUCCAAGACCAAAAUGUCAUACAAUUUAAUAACUAUACAAUGAAACUUAUUACACCAUAUUUAUUCUUCUAUGGUUGACGCUACAAACAAUAUGAGACUUAUGAAACCAAAUAAAUUUUAACUUCACAGGUAGAAGACAAAGCAACUUCGUAAUCUUUUAAAUUAUCUUCAAACCUAAAUAUGCUCAGUUGCAGAGAAAAUGGUACAAAAUUCUCAUUAUUAGUUUCGAAACCGGGAUCAAGCAAACAUUUGCUUCUUUUUUAAUAGAAAUGUACAUAACAUUAAUUUAAGCAAAGAUAUGAGAAAUAAAAGAAAUCACACGAGAGGAGUGCAGGGAAGGCAUCAAUGAAAUCUUGAUAUGAACUAUCAAAUUUGAGAUGGAAAAACUAUAAUAAAAAUUACCAUAUCACUACAUACAAUUCAGACAUUCAGACCAUGGAAAAUUCACAACGAAUAUUACUAAAAUGAGAAUUCAGACUGACCCUGGAAGCAGAAUUUUUCUUUCAAUAAUAUAAGGAAUAUCUGCAAAUACAACUCCAACGUCGCAACAGAUUCAAUCGAACGAAGAAGCAACAAGAAACCGAAGAUCGCUAACCACAAAAGAAGCUUGCCCAAAACCGCAGACCCAACCGAGAACUCCGAUAUAUUCGUGAGUGCUUGCUAUUUUAUGAUACUUCCAAACGUUUUCUCAUUCGUUUUUCCUUUUCAAAAUCUG